CUGAUUUACUGCUGUAAUUCUAGGCCUGCCUUGGUCCAUCCAUUUCCAUAAGCCCUAUGAGAGCUGAAGUGCACAUGAUGCCUAGCUGUUGGAGAGGAUUUUCAGAAUCCAAUCAGUUGUAACUGCUAUUUCCACCAUGCUGCUGCUUGUAUAGCAGCAUAUUUCUGCAGCAACAACAACAAAUACACUUGUUGAUGUAAAACAUUCCUCUCUGGGCUGUUCAGGGACCACAGUCCAAGCCCACCAGAUGUACAUGCUGCACCAGCAGCAACUGGAGCUUGAUCAUUUUCAUCCCGCAGAAGAGGACCUCAAAUGGCCAUCACUCCUCUCCCACCUUGCACUGGCACCAGGGUUUUUUCUCUUUGAGAAAUGAAGGUAGAAUGGUGCUAGAAACUUGAUGACUAUCACAGCCAGCCCGGGAUUACGCUCCUGCAGGAAGAGCCAUUGUGCCUAUCCACAUCCAGUGACCAUCACACAAGGCAAGUCUCAGCCCUCCCUGGGACAGCUGGUAGAGUGACUGCUUUGGGGCACUGAGGAUGUUGGAGCCAAAGGAAGCCCUACCACUGCUUUUUGCUCCUGCAGUUCCUGUGUGGCCCACGGGGCAACCCUGCUCCUCCUGCACCACCACAGUCCAUCCCUGAAGAAACCAGGGCAGCCCCAUGCUGAGACAUCUGUGGAGACAACUGAGGAGGAAGGUAAUUGGGCCAGUGGAUGGUGACUGCUGCUGGAAGGAGACCCCAGCCCCAUUUCUCCUCAAGCACUUCCUCCUUCUUAAGGUUUGUUUGUUUGUUUGUUUGUUUGUUUGUUUGUUUUUAUCAAACACUUUGCUAAGACAUCAGCAGGUGGUGUGUGGUUGCUGUUUCACUUUUACUUCUAUAUUCAGAUCUGCAAGAUCUACUGAAAUUACUGUCUUAUAUUUCUGCACCUAGGUAAUGAGAUCUUCAGGGAAAAUUGUGAAAAACAUCUAUUUAUUGCCUUCUCAAAAGAGGAAUUUGCAGUUGUUUCCUGUCUACCUUCCUUCUAAUGCAAUGAGAGAACCUGCCUGAAGCAGGACAGUGCUGAGCAGCUGCUGCUCUUCAAUUGCAGAGCUGGCCUUCUGGAAAAACCAUUCACCUCACAAUACCUCAUGGGAAUUGUUUAUUUAUACAAUGUGUACAAAAAAAGCCACAAACAGUUUUAACCUGAGGAAAAUACAAAUUUGAUACAAAGGAGAAUCUUUGUCUCAUAUUCUUAAGGAUGCUUAAAAGACCAGGGUAUUUCCCUCCCAAUAUCACUAUCUCCAUCCCAUUGGAGGAUAAAAGAAGACUUAUUCCAAAUGCAGCUGUCUGCAAGACAGCUGAAACUGGAGGAGUUAAGUACAUUAACAAGUUCAUCCCCUUGGUGAUCAGGACUUGUUUUAUCAGUAACUUGUGGUCACUGCAGGACAGACCUCAGCGACAGCAUGACCUUGGGCUUGCCAUUUCUUGGUAUUUCUUUCCUCCUUAAGUCUCUACAUUUCUUUGAGACAAAACAGUACCUUUUUAGGGGUACUUUAUUCCUGAACUAAGAUACCAUCUGGAAAUGGUCUUAGCAUGAUGCAUUUAAACGCACAAAUGUUCACAUAAAGUUUUUGUGCGUACAAAGUUGUCAGAGAAAAAACAUGAAUGUAACAGCUGCAUGUAAAACCUGGUUGUUUUUUACAGUGUUCCAUCAGUAUUUACCUUACCUUAUCAGUAUUCACAGCUUGUUUUCUCUCUGAUCAAGAUGUCAACAGUCCCUGCAUCUCACACUGUUCCUCUAUUAAACACCUUGCAUCAUUCUACAGCUUAUUUUGAUAAAAUUUGUUCAAAGCUCUACAUGGACAGAGAAUUGCCAAGUUUUCCCUGGCACUUUCUAUGGCUUCAUGACUGAGGCUGAUUAAAACAUCACAAACACAAAUUUUCUCUUCUC
rnacentral:lncRNA from 1 species